GUGAGGAAUAUUGGACAAUGGGCGCAAGCCUGAUCCAGCCAUGCCGCGUGCAGGAAGACACAUCUAUGGUGUGUAAACUGCUUUUGUACGGGAAGAAACACUCCCUCGUGAGGGAGCUUGACGGUACCGUAAGAAUAAGGAUCGGCUAACUCCGUGCCAGCAGCCGCGGUAAUACGGAGGAUCCAAGCGUUAUCCGGAAUCAUUGGGUUUAAAGGGUCCGUAGGCGGUUUAAUAAGUCAGUGGUGAAAGCCCAUCGCUCAACGAUGGAACGGCCAUUGAUACUGUUAGACUUGAAUUACAAGGAAGUAACUAGAAUAUGUAGUGUAGCGGUGAAAUGCUUAGAUAUUACAUGGAAUACCAAUUGCGAAGGCAGGUUACUACUUGUGGAUUGACGCUGAUGGACGAAAGCGUGGGGAGCGAACAGGAUUAGAUACCCCAGUAGUCC
rnacentral:rRNA from 1 species